rnacentral:rRNA from 1 species
GGCUUCUGAUUGCUAUUGCACCACAUGUGUUUUUCUUUGAAACAAACUUGCUUUGGCGGUGGGCCCAGCCUGCCGCCAGAGGUCUAAACUUACAACCAAUUUUUUAUCAACUUGUCACACCAGAUUAUUACUAAUAGUCAAAACUUUCAACAACGGAUCUCUUGGUUCUCGCAUCGAUGAAGAACGCAGCGAAAUGCGAUACGUAAUAUGAAUUGCAGAUAUUCGUGAAUCAUCGAAUCUUUGAACGCACAUUGCGCCCUCUGGUAUUCCGGAGGGCAUGCCUGUUUGAGCGUCGUUUCUCCCUCAAACCGCUGGGUUUGGUGUUGAGCAAUACGACUUGGGUUUGCUUGAAAGACGGUAGUGGUAAGGCGGGAUCGCUUUGACAAUGGCUUAGGUCUAACCAAAAACAUUGCUUGCGGCGGUAACGUCUACCACGUAUAUCUUCAAACUUUGACCUCAAAUCAGGUAGGACUACCCGCUGAACUUAAGCAUAUCAAAAAGCGGGGAGGAA